rnacentral:lncRNA from 1 species
UAUAAAAAUAAAUUUAUUUUUAGUCCAUCAAGGUGUCUGAAGAUUUUAUGCCUAGGUAUCUCCAUAUCUAACUCGAUAAGGAAGGAAAAUAGGAUAAACAAUGCUGGUAAUAGCAGGAAAGUAAGUAUUUGAAUGAGAUGUCAAACUGAUAUUUCAUGGGAACCUAACUCAUUUUUUGGUAACUAAUAAUAAUCUUAUUUAAAUCAAUAGGUAAAACCUGUUUAGAAAUUAAAAAUGAGUUACGAUUUAAAGAAAAUUCAGAUGACUCAUUGUGAGUGCUAGUUCUCUUGUAGGAUGCCACUGGAAAUGUUGAAAUGAAAAAUAUUCAGCCGUCGGUCUUUGAAAUUUCCUGUGAUGUGUUUCAAUCUAGAUGCAAAGAACAUGGAAAAAUCAAAGUGCUCGAGUGGUUUAAAUACGUUUUGGAUGUUCCUGUUUAUAGACUAUAAUACUUUUCCAAUUAAAAUCCUCAGUUGUCAUGCAGAAGAAGGUUAAGCUCUACUUGAUUGCCAGUUUUACUGAAAAUGCUUAGUAUUUUACAGUAUCACCAAAUAUAUUUUGUUUAGCCAAGGUAUAGGAAAAAUAAAAUAAAUUGUAUAGGUUGACUUUUUUCUAAAAUGUCUUUAUUGGAUAGAAUGAAUGUUUAUACCUGAAAAAAGAUUC